CCUACGGGAUGCAGCAGUGGGGAAUAUUGGGCAAUGGGCGCAAGCCUGACCCAGCAACGCCGCGUGAAGGAAGAAGGCUUUCGGGUUGUACACUUCUUUUGUCAGGGAAGAGUAGAAGACGGUACCUGACGAAUAAGCCCCGGCUAACUACGUGCCAGCAGCCGCGGUAAUACUUCGGUGGCAAGCGGUGUCCGGAUUUACUGGGUGUAAAGGGCGUGUAGCCGGGUUGACAAGUCAGAUGUGAAAUCCUGCGGCUUAACCGCAGAACUGCAUUUGAAACUGUUGAUCUUGAGUACUGGAGAGGCAGAUGGAAUUCCUAGUGAAGCGGUGAAAUGCGUAGAUAUUAGGAGGAACACCAGUGGCGAAGGCGGUCUGCUGGACAGCAACUGACGGUGAGGCGCGAAAGCGUGGGGAGCAAACAGGAUUAGAUACCCUAGUAGUC
rnacentral:rRNA from 1 species